rnacentral:rRNA from 1 species
AGUGAACGCUGGCGGUAGGCCUAACACAUGCAAGUCGAACGGCAGCACAGUAAGAGCUUGCUCUUACGGGUGGCGAGUGGCGGACGGGUGAGGAAUACAUCGGAAUCUACUUUUUCGUGGGGGAUAACGUAGGGAAACUUACGCUAAUACCGCAUACGACCUACGGGUGAAAGCAGGGGAUCUUCGCACCUUGCGCGAUUGAAUGAGCCGAUGUCGGAUUAGCUAGUUGGCGGGGUAAAGGCCCACCAAGGCGACGAUCCGUAGCUGGUCUGAGAGGAUGAUCGGCCACACUGGAGCUGAGACACGGUCCAGAGUCCUACGGGAGGCAGCAGUGGGGAAUAUUAGACAAUGGGCGCAAACCUGAUCCAGCCAUACCGCGUGGGUGAAGAAGGCCUUCGGGUUGUAAAGACCUUUUGUUGGGAAAGAAAAGCAGCAGGUUAAUACCCCGCUGUUCUGACGGUACCCAAAGAAUAAGCACCGGCUAACUUCGUG